UACGUAGGGUGCAAGCGUUGUCCGGAAUUAUUGGGCGUAAAGAGCUCGUAGGCGGUCUGUCGCGUCGGCUGCGAAAUCCCGAGGCUCAACCUCGGGUCUGCAGUCGAUACGGGCAAACUAGAGUAUUGCAGGGGAGACUGGAAUUCCUGGUGUAGCGGUGAAAUGCGCAGAUAUCAGGAGGAACACCGAUGGCGAAGGCAGGUCUCUGGGCCGAUACUGACGCUGAGGAGCGAAAGCGUGGGGAGCGAACAGG
rnacentral:rRNA from 1 species